rnacentral:rRNA from 1 species
AUUGAACGCUGGCGGAAUGCUUUACACAUGCAAGUCGAACGGUAGAGGGGGCAACCCCUUGAGAGUGGCGAACGGGUGAGUAAUAUAUCGGAACGUGCCCAGUCGUGGGGAUAACGUAGCGAAAGUUACGCUAAUACCGCAUACGAUCUAAGGAUGAAAGCGGGGGAUCGCAAGACCUCGCGCGAUUGGAGCGGCCGAUAUCAGAUUAGGUAGUUGGUGAGGUAAAGGCUCACCAAGCCAACGAUCUGUAGCUGGUCUGAGAGGACGACCAGCCACACUGGAACUGAGACACGGUCCAGACUCCUACGGGAGGCAGCAGUGGGGAAUAUUGGACAAUGGGCGCAAGCCUGAUCCAGCCAUGCCGCGUGUGUGAAGAAGGCCU